GCGAGUAGAAAACUAAUGCCGGAAACAACCGUAACUAUUGUUAUUGGGUUUAGGUGGUGUUGUCCGUCUUUGUUUGAGGAACAAAUGGAACGUUGAUAAUGGAUAAUACUAGUAGUAAAUUUACUAACAGAUUAUGCUAUGCUUGCUGCUUGCAGUUAUUGGCUUUUUAGUACAUAUAUGGUGGAGUAAUUGUUAAUCGAUUUCUAUCCUCUUUCUAGCGUCAUUAAUCCAUUUUUCCUGUUCCUUUUCUUUAACUUUUUUUCAAGAGUAGGCUCAUGAAGAAGGAGAAGAG
rnacentral:lncRNA from 1 species